rnacentral:rRNA from 1 species
CAGUAGCCACGGUAAUACGUAGGUGGCAAGCGUUGUCCGAAGUUACUGGGCGUAAAGAGCGCGUAGGCGGGUCUUUAAGUGAGGGGUGAAAGGUUCAGGGCUCAACCCGGACACUGCCUUUCAUACUGGAGACCUUGAGUGUGGGAGAGGCGAGUGGAAUGGUCGGUGUAGCGGUGAAAUGCGUAGAUAUCGAUCGGAACACCCAUGGCGAAGGCAGCUCGCUGGCCUAUAACUGACGCUGAGGCGCGAAAGCGUGGGGAGCAAACAGGAUUAGAUACCCGAGUAGUCCCUGUCUCUUAUA